rnacentral:lncRNA from 1 species
GAGGCAUCACCUCCCAAAAGAAGUCCGUGUCAUAAAGGGUCCCUUGGUUGUGGGGUUUAAUGACAUGAAACUAUUCUAUUCACCUCCAGGGCUAAGGAAGUAUCUUUUGAUUUAUUGCACUGUUCUAAACACUAUGUAAUUAGAUGAGCUUGGAACUCUGCAAGGGGGGCAGUUUGUAGUGCAGAUCCGUUUCCCACUGAAGUGCAUGGAGGCUGCAGGAGCGGAGGUGAAGGGGAUGGAGAGGUGGAGUCUUUCUAUGUUGCCCAGGCUGGUCUCAAACUUCUGACUUCAAGUGAUCCUCCUGCGUUGGCCUCCCGAAGUGCUGGGAUUACAGUCGUAAACCACCACUCCUGGAUUAUCCUUUACUAAUUUCAUUCAUAGAUGAGAGAUUGGGAGAAGAAAGAGGAAACUGCCACUUAUUUUCCACAUAAGUGUCAUCUUCAAGAUUCCAUGGAACAGAUUUCAUUCUACCCAGGAUUCCUUGAAAGGUGGCUUGAAACUCAUCUCUCAAUUGAAGUCAUGAAUCUGCAGGGGACAAAGAAAAAUGGCAUCCACAUAUCAACUCUAAUUGAUUUGGGGGCACUCUCCAGAGAGUCAGGAAUCUGGUUUAGGUCCCAGACCUAUAGCUUCCAGGGCUCAGACUCCUCAGAAGCUAAGGAGUUUGGCCAGUGCACGGCAGCUCACACCUGUAAUCCUGGCACUUUAGGAGGCUGAACUGAGAGGAUCACUUGUGUCAAGGUGUUCCAGACCAGCCUGGGCAACAUAUCAAGACCUCGUCUCUGCAAAACGUUUUAAACUUAGCUGGGCAUGGUGGCACACACUUGUAGUCUUAUCUACUCUAGAGGCUAAGGCUGGAGGAACAGUUGAGCCCAGGAGGUUGAGGCUGCAAUGAGCUAUGAUACCCCAAUAUGAUUGCCCCACUGGGUGACAGAAUGAAAGUCUGUCUAAAAAAUUUUUUAGAAAUAAGAAUAAUACAGGUUUAUAGAUCAAAAUGUGGCUCCUGAAAUAUUAGUUUUGAGCUUCAAUUCAAUAAGAAAGCCAUCGUAUUAGUCCAUUCUCGCACUGCUAUAAAGAAGUACCUGAGACUGUGUAAUUUAUAAAGGAAAGAGGUUUGAUUGACUCACAGUUCCAAAAGGCUGGGGAGGCCUCAGGAAACUUACAAUCAUGGUGGAAGGUGAAGGGAAAGCAAGGACCUUCUUCACAUGGCAGCAGGAGAGAGAAGUCCAAGCUGAGGAGAUGCCAUAUGCUUAUAAAACCAUCAGAUCUCGUGAAGAGUCACUCCUGUCAUAAGAACAGCAUGGGGAAAACCACCCCCAUGAUCCAAUCACCUCCUACCAGACCCCGCCCUCCACACAUGGGGAUUAUGGGAAUUACAAUUCUAGAUGAGAUUUGGGUGGGGACACGGGGCCAAACUAUAUCAGCCAUACAGGAAGGGAGCGUGAGAAGCUGAAGGUUAUGGUUCUUAUGCUUUCUAAGUGUCUUCCAGGCCCUGAGCCCACUGUCUCACCUCCACAGUGCAGAUAUGCCUUAAACACAAUUAAAACUGAAACCAACAUUAAACAGAACUAAAUGUAAGAAAUUAACAGAAAUUAAUUACCACAUAUCAGAGAGACAAUCGCCUGUUUAAAGCUUUAAUAUGAAAGAUACUUCUUUGAACAUAAAAACCCCAACUCUCACAUAUUUUCAAGGUAGUUUUGUACAUUAGAAAAUAAUUCUCUGUAUUCCGUGAUGAACGAUUCAUCGUGGAAUGCCUUUUAAAAAACAAAGACAUUGAAAAUGUGGUUGCAGGCUGGGCACAGUGGCUCACGCCCAUAAUCCCAGCACUUUGGGAGACUGAGGCAGGCAGAUCACUUGAGCCCAGGAGUUCGAGAUCAGCCCGGGCAACAUGGCAAAACCCUGUCUCUACAAAGAAAAUUUUAAAAAAAUUAGCUGGUCAUGUUGGUACAUACCUGUAGUCCUAGCUACUUGGUGAGGCUGAGGCCAGAGGAUUGCUUGAGUCUGGGAGGGAGGCAGAGGUUGCAGUGAACUAUGAUCAUGCCACUACACUCCUCACCCUGGUCAACAGAGUGAGACCCUGUCUCCAAAAACAAAAAAGAAAAACUGUGAUUGCAGACACAAACACUUAAACAUAACUCUGCAAACUUUUCUGUUACCUUUGAAAACCUAUUUCCGUACAGGGAGGAAAAAAACCCUUAGCCUUGUUUUGAUAGGGAAAUUUGAUUACUCAUUUGAAUAGACUGAGUAUGAUAGUUAUUUGACUUUUGAAAAUGUUUCAGGUCUCCUUCCUCUCUGCUAUCUUAGGAUCUGAGCUUCCUGAAAUUUUGAACCAAGGGCCAUGAAAUACAUUUUCUUAGCCUUUGCUAUAACAUUCAGCAUUAAACAGAAGACAAGAAGUGUGGCCGGACAUGGUGACUCAUGCCUGUAAUCCCAGCACUUUGGGAAGCCAAGGAAGGCAGAUCACUAUAGGCCAGGAGUUCCAGACCAGUCUGGGCAACAUGAGGAAAUACUGUCUCUACCAAAAGUGCAAAACAUUAGCCAGGUGUGGUGGUGCGCGCCUGUGGUCCCAGCUACUCAGGAGGCUGAGGUGGGAUGAUUGCUUGAGCCUGGGAGGUGGAGGCUACAGUGAGCCAAGAUUGAUCGCCACUGCACUCCAGCCUGGGUGACAAAGUGAGACUCCAUCUCAAGAAAAAGAAAAAAAAGAAGAAGAAGAAGGCAUGAGGUGAGAGGCAGGGAAUAUUCUUACAAAUCCAGGAUGGUUUCUUGGAGGAAAUGGUCUUUCUGUUUUCAGUCCUUUAUUUUAUUCUUAUUAUGACUCAGGGACAUGCUUUCCUUUGUAUAUUUGAUCAUCAAAAGAUCCUUUCCAUAUUUGGAAAAUUCUGUGCUUAUGUUUGACUUUCUUGUUUUACAUGGAGUGGGGGCGGGCGGGGAGGCAAUUCCUGAAGUACAACGGGCCUCAUCACAGAGGUUAUACUUGCUCAGUGGAGUGUGAUAUUCAUGUCUUUCUGUGCUGGAUGCGUUUUUUCUUUUUAAUAUAGACAUAAGCACUUUGCAUUUCCAUAUGCAUUUUGACUAGGUAAGUAAGACAUAAGAUUGGCCACUUUCACAUUUUUUCUGCUUCAAGCAACUAAAUUGUACACGCUAUACUGACGACAGGCACAGCUUGGCACCAAACUGGAUGUGAGGGGAAGAUUUGGGGUGUGCCAGAGAAGCAUCCGCAGACUUCAGAGCCUGCUGGUUCUUUUGAAAAUAAUCGCCGAGUUUCAUCUGCUAUCACCUGCUUUGCCUGCGUUCCUUUUGAUAACUGCCUUCCUUUCAGGGCUGACUGAAUAAGAGUUAUUGAUUUAGUGCUUCAAGAUCUCACAAGAUUCAGUCAUGAAAAUGAGAUCUGGCCUCGGGGGAGAAAACCGCUUCCUGCCCAGCACAGAGCCCAAGCAGGGACAGUGGCCGGAUCUGUUCAGUGCUCAUUAACGAGGUAACUUUGCCAUUUAUCAAAGCGCAGGACCAGUCUGGUGAGCCAAAACCAGAAUAUGAAAAUAGAUCUUUCUUCUGAAGUUCAGAUGUGAAAUAUUUUCCGUGUUUCCAAGAAUUUUUUUUUAAAGCCUCAACUUUUGUCCAUACCAUAAUUUUCUGGGAGUUUUCCUAAUUAAAAAUGCUGAUGGGUAUGGACUGUGUCCUUUCAUAGAGAAGGCAUUUAAGGGCAUCUACAACUCACAAGUUCAAUAAGAUCACCCAGCAUUAACAUGCCUUUGAUGAGGCAUUCGUUUAUUAUCUCUAGUUAUUUCUCAAUAAUCACACAACUGGCCUAAUGACACAAUGGGCUUUAUAAUAAUGAAUUUUCAAAAGAAAGCAAACAUUUCCUUUGAGGCUAUAUUCUCCAAUGAAUUUGGCAUGCCCUGGUUUGAAGACUUUCAUCUCCAAAUAGGCUGGGGUUUCUCUUUUAUCUAGCGGCCUGCCUUGCUGAAACCUUCUCCGACACACAAAGGAAAGUCUAAAAAAUGUCCAGUUCUAUCCAAGACUUCAAAAGUGCUCAGGGAGCCAGAUAAAAUCUGUCCCAGGAUUUUUUCUCUCCCCGAUAAACGUUUAGGAAAACCUUACUUCUGAGUCCAGGGCUACUUGGCUAGGACUGAAGAUGCUAAUGAAAAAGUGUUUCACUUAGGAACCUUGAGUGAGUCAAAAUUAGAGAAGGCUUGUUACCCAAAGGCCUGUGGUUUUAUUAUACAAGGCCCAUAUACUUCACCAAGGCUGGUAAAGUCAUUCAAACAACGACGUGUCAAAAGACAGAAUAUAGGCAAAAGUUCUGACCCAUCUGGUUGGUUGUGGCAUCUCCUAACUCAAACACCUUUGAAAAAACCCUCGUAAAAGGUGAAUAUAAGGCCUGUUAGGCCUCAGAACACAGUGGUUGUAGGACAGAAACCUUCGAUCACAGGACACUAGAAACACUCUCCAGAUCAAAGUCAUUCUAGUAAUUGUCAUUGUGCAUUAUGGAAAACCGAGUCCUGGGUUUGUGCCUUCCUUCCCCAGAACAUGAUUAUUACUGAAACAGAUGCAUGUUGGAUUUCCAGAUUGUGAAGCUAAGCUGUAAGGGUCUGCCUUGUCAUGACCUUACUGGCUGUGCAUGGUCUAAACUCAACUACCUCCCAGUCUCCAGACUGAACAUCUUAAUGUAUUAACUUAGAAUAUACUUCUUGUAAGCUUUCUUCCAACCCGGGUUCUACUCAUUUUGUUGGUCAAACAAACAAACAAAAAAUUCAAUCUAAAAUCCACAGUUACACAAGGAUAUGAAUGUAAGAAAGGCUGAACGUGAAUGAUUCCAGGAUAGAAGAAGUUAAUAAACCAAUUAACAAAAUCUGUGAGCAUUGCUAACCUUCAAAAGAGGAGGAUAAGGUUACAUUUUGUUUAAAGACAAAAAAAAAAUCCUAAUUAGUAUCAUGCUCUAAAAUAUACCUUUUAUUGAAAGCUAAGUUUUUAUUUUUAAUUAGUUCAAUAAAUGGCAAUGGGCAGCCUUCUCCUACUUAGCGAACUCACCAGGCUGUAGAAUUGUUGUAGGAAAUUAGCUCCAUUUCAGUCUUUGAUCCUUGAAGACCAAAGUGUGCAAUUUUGCUGGAGUAGUGUCGGUCGUUUGUAAGACCUUAGUGAAAGAAAAGUCUUAGUGUCCCUUAAAACUCCUUUAAAUAUGUAAAAAUGCACAAUGUCAGGGACCAGGACCCCGUCUACAUUAAACAAAGAACAAAGUCGAUCACUUCCCAUAAAGGGAAGGAUUUACAUUAAACUUUCCCCAGCAGAAAAAGAAAACAGAAAUUAAAAAGAUCAGACUGUGUUUUCUAGGGAAAUCUCUGCAUCUCCUUUUGUGCCUAAUAAUCUUCAUUUACUGGGACACCUAAGCUUCUUUGUGACUUUUCAUCUAAAUAUAUAUCCAAAGUUGUCUUCACUGCCUCAUUAAAGUAAAAUAAUAUCACAAGGUAACAAGUGUUUACGUUAAAAAAAGUUUGUUUGUUUUUUAAUCCCAGGCAAUGACUUUUUUUCAAGCUAUGCAAUAAUAAGACACUCCCUGAAAGUUUGUUUUAUUUGCCUCUGGGCUUGUCGUUUUCAUUUUCCUGCCCUUUGCUUACUUUUCUGUUGCUACUAAAAGGUAAACUUAUUCAGGCAUCUGUGUGUGUGUGUGUGUGUGCACGCACGCGUGUGUUUAUAUUAUUUAUUGAUAUACAUCUUAAAUAACGAACUUUGCAAAAUAAAAUCACAUUAUGAUGAGUUUUUUUAAUCCUAUUCUUAAUUCUCUAAUGGAGUUUCCUUGCUUUGCUUAAAAUAAGUGGACCACUGUUUGCCUUUGAAUUUC